rnacentral:rRNA from 1 species
AUUGAACGCUGGCGGCAUGCUUUACACAUGCAAGUCGAACGGUAACAGGGUGCUUGCACCGCUGACGAGUGGCGAACGGGUGAGUAAUGCGUCGGAACGUGCCGAGUAGUGGGGGAUGACGCAGCGAAAGUUGUGCUAAUACCGCAUACGUACUGAGGUAGAAAGUGGGGGACCUUCGGGCCUCACGCUAUUCGAGCGGCCGACGUCUGAUUAGCUAGUAGGUGAGGUAAAGGCUCACCUAGGCGACGAUCAGUAGCGGGUCUGAAAGGAUGAUCCGCCACACUGGGACUGAGACACGGCCCAGACUCCUACGGGAGGCAGCAGUGGGGAAUUUUGGACGAUGGGCGAAAGCCUGAUCCAGCCAUGCCGCGUGUCUGAAGAAGGCCUUCGGGUUGUAAAGGACUUUUGUCAGGGAGGAAAUCCCUAGUGCUAAUAACACUGGGGGAUGACAGUACCUGAAGAUUAAGCACCGGCUAACUACGUGCCAGCAGCCGCCGUAA